UACGGGGGGCGCAAGCGUUGUUCGGAAUUACUGGGCGUAAAGGGCGUGUAGGUGGCCAACUAAGUCCGACGUGAAAUCCCCAGGCUUAACCUGGGAACUGCGUCGGAUACUGGAUGGCUUGAAUUCGGGAGAGGAAUGCAGAAUUCCAGGUGUAGCGGUGAAAUGCGUAGAUAUCUGGAGGAAUACCGGUGGCGAAGGCGGCAUCCUGGACCGGCAUUGACGCUGAGGAGCGAAAGCUAGGGGAGCAAACGGG
rnacentral:rRNA from 1 species